rnacentral:rRNA from 1 species
AGAGUUAGAUCCUGGCUCAGGACGAACGCUGGCGGCGUGCCUAAUACAUGCAAGUCGAGCGCGGGAAGCAAGCGGAUCCCCUUCGGGGGUGACGCUUGUGGAACGAGCGGCGGACGGGUGAGUAACACGUGGGCAACCUGCCUGUAAGACUGGGAUAACCCCGGGAAACCGGGGCUAAUACCGGAUAACACCGGACUCCACAUGGAGUCGGGUUGAAAGAUGGCUUCUGGCUAUCACUUACAGAUGGGCCCGCGGCGCAUUAGCUAGUUGGUGAGGUAACGGCUCGCCAAGGCGACGAUGCGUAGCCGACCUGAGAGGGUGAUCGGCCACACUGGGACUGAGACACGGCCCAGACUCCUACGGGAGGCAGCAGUAGGGAAUCUUCCGCAAUGGACGAAAGUCUGACGGAGCAACGCCGCGUGAACGAUGAAGGUCUUCGGAUCGUAAAGUUCUGUUGUCAGGGAAGAACAAGUGCCGUGCGAAUAGAGCGGCACCUUGACGGUACCUGACGAGGAAGCCCCGGCUAACUACGUGCCAGCAGCCGCGGUAAUACGUAGGGGGCAAGCGUUGUCCGGAAUUAUUGGGCGUAAAGCGCGCGCAGGCGGUUCCUUAAGUCUGAUGUGAAAGCCCACGGCUCAACCGUGGAGGGUCAUUGGAAACUGGGGAACUUGAGUGCAGAAGAGGAGAGUGGAAUUCCACGUGUAGCGGUGAAAUGCGUAGAUAUGUGGAGGAACACCAGUGGCGAAGGCGACUCUCUGGUCUGUAACUGACGCUGAGCGCGAAAGCGUGGGGAGCAAACAGGAUUAGAUACCCUGGUAGUCCACGCCGUAAACGAUGAGUGCUAGGUGUUAGGGGGCUUCCACCCCUUAGUGCUGAAGUUAACGCAUUAAGCACUCCGCCUGGGGAGUACGGCCGCAGGCUGAAACUCAAGGAAUUGACGGGGGCCCGCACAGCGGUGGACAUGUGGUUUAUUCGAGCAACGCGAGAACCUUACAGGUCUUGACAUCCUUCGGACACCCUGGAGACAGGCGUUCCUUCGGGGACCGAAUGACAGUGGGAGCAUGGGUGUCGUCAACUCCUG